GCCGCUAGGGCGGACCUAGCACUCUUGGCGCCUUAUCGAUAAAGGGCGGAAUUCCGCUCCGCUCUCCGCCAAGGACAUCGGAUUGGAUUUCAUGCUGGGUAGUUCCGUUAUCGGGGAGCCAAAGGAAACAUAGUCUCAAUGUUCAACUGUCAAAACCCUCAUGCACUGAGAGGAGCCCCUUGGGGUAGCAGGCUUGGGAGACUUGGUGGCGUGGUAGAUUGGAUGUUCGCCGUCUGUGUGGCAUACUAGAGCGACGGUGAACAUGCCAGCACAAUUAUUCUGUCGUCGUUCAACUAGCACUCACGCCCCGCGGCUGUAUACGCCAGUCGCUAUUUUCUCUUGCUGGAAGGAAAGCAUGAAUAUAUCAAUCCCUCUCAAGGUGCCAAGACUAGGGGAACAUAUAAAAGUUUAACCCAUGAUUCCAAUGUCAGGACUCCGCUUUUCGUCGUCUCUUUCGAAUGUGUGGCGGCAACUUACUGUCCAUGCAAGGAAUAACGGGGAACGUGCCUUUUUGAUGUGACAAUCCUUGGCCCCCUGCCCUUCGCAAGGCGUGCCAUGCAAGUCUCCAUCAUCUGUCAUGGGGGAUACUGCUCAGUGUCUCUGCUUCUGUUACUUCGGCGGUCAUUGAAACAGGAGUCGAGUGAGAGCUAAAUAAUGUAGCUCUUGGUAUAUGUGGGGUUGAUUGAGUGGCCGGUUGUGUUUUACAACUUAAAUGCAAGGGCCCAUGAGUUGGUUACUUGGGGAUAUAUGAUUGUUAAUUGAUUGUUGAUAGCUCGACAAUUGAUGUGAGCGUAUAUAGAGCAUCUACCAAAUAUUGAUGUUUUGCAGGGG
rnacentral:sRNA from 1 species